AGCGCGGGUAGCAAUACCUGGCGGCGACCGGCAAACGGGUGCGGAACACGUACAGAAUCUACCUUUAUCUGGGGCAUAGCCCGAAGAAAUUCGGAUUAACUCCCCAUAACAUAUAUGAGAGGCAUCUCUUGAAUAUUAAAAAUUUAUUGGAUAAAGAUGACUGUGCGUCCCAUUAGCUAGUUGGUAGGGUAACGGCCUACCAAGGCAAAGAUGGUUAGCUGGUCUGAGAGGAUGAUCAGCCACACUGGAACUGAGACACGGUCCAGACUCCUACGGGAGGCAGCAGUGGGGAAUAUUGCGCAAUGGGCGAAAGCUUGACGCAGCAACGCCGCGUGAGUGAUGAAGGCCUUCGGG
rnacentral:rRNA from 1 species